GGGUUUGAUUAUGGCUCAGGAUGAACGCUGGCGGCGUGCUCAACACAUGCAAGUCGAACGAACCUUCGGGUUAGUGGCGGACGGGUGAGUAACGCGUGAGAAUCUGCCCUCAGGAGGGGGAUAACAGCUGGAAACGGCUGCUAAUACCCCAUAUGCCGCGAGGUGAAAUGAAUUUCGCCUGAGGAUGAGCUCGCGUCUGAUUAGCUAGUUGGUGUGGGUAAUGGCUCACCAAGGCAUCGAUCAGUAGCUGGUCUGAGAGGAUGAUCAGCCACACUGGGACUGAGACACGGCCCAGACUCCUACGGGAGGCAGCAGUGGGGAAUUUUCCGCAAUGGGCGAAAGCCUGACGGAGCAACGCCGCGUGAGGGAUGAAGGCCUCUGGGCUGUAAACCUCUUUUAUCAAGGAAGAAGAUCUGACGGUACUUGAUGAAUAAGCCACGGCUAAUUCCGUGC
rnacentral:rRNA from 1 species